ensembl:snoRNA
AAGCAAUGACAAAGGGUUUCCAACUGACCUUUGUAACUACGAAGUUUUCUACACUUGACCUGAGCUCA